rnacentral:rRNA from 1 species
GACGAACCGAGCGAACGUUAUUCGGAAUCACUGGGCUUAAAGGGCGCGUAGGCGGACCGUCAAGUCAGGGGUGAAAGCCCGCGGCUCAACCGCGGAAGUGCCUUUGAUACUGGCGGUCUCGAGGGAGGUAGGGGCGUGCGGAACUUCCGGUGGAGCGGUGAAAUGCGUAGAUAUCGGAAGGAACACCGGUGGCGAAAGCGGCGCGCUGGACCUCUUCUGACGCUGAGGCGCGAAAGCCAGGGGAGCGAACGGG